rnacentral:rRNA from 1 species
GACGAACGCUGGCGGCGUGCCUAACACAUGCAAGUCGAGCGGUCCGGCAUUUAACAUUGAGUAUUCAGAUGAAUCUGAGUAUUGAAUGUUAAAUGUCGGAUAGCGGCGGACGGGUGAGUAACGCGUGGGUGACCUGCCUUAUACAGGGGGAUAACACAGGGAAACUUGUGCUAAUACCGCAUAAUAUCAUUGUAUGGCAUCAUAUGGUGAUCAAAGGAGCAAUCCGGUAUAAGAUGGACCCGCGUCCAAUUAGCUAGUUGGUGGUGUAACGGACCACCAAGGCGACGAUUGGUAGCCGAACUGAGAGGUUGAUCGGCCACAUUGGGACUGAGACACGGCCCAGACUCCUACGGGGAGGCAGCAGUGGGGAAUAUUGCACAAUGGGGGAAACCCUGAUGCAGCAACGCCGCGUGAAGGAUGAAGGUUUUCGGAUCGUAAACUUCUUUGAUGAGGGACGAAUAAUGACGGUACCUCAAGAACAAGCCACGGCUAA